rnacentral:rRNA from 1 species
GAUGAACGCUGGCGGCGUGCCUAACACAUGCAAGUCGAACGGAGUCGUUUUGGAAAUCUCUUCGGAGAUGGAAUUCUCGACUUAGUGGCGGACGGGUGAGUAACGCGUGAGCAAUCUGCCUUUAAGAGGGGGAUAACAGUCGGAAACGGCUGCUAAUACCGCAUAAAGCAUUAAAUUCGCAUGUUUUUGAUGCCAAAGGAGCAAUCCGCUUUUAGAUGAGCUCGCGCCUGAUUAGCUAGUUGGCGGGGUAACGGCCCACCAAGGCGACGAUCAGUAGCCGGACUGAGAGGUUGAACGGCCACAUUGGGACUGAGACACGGCCCAGACUCCUACGGGAGGCAGCAGUGGGGAAUAUUGCGCAAUGGGGGAAACCCUGACGCAGCAACGCCGCGUGAUUGAAGAAGGCCUUCGGGUUGUAAAGAUCUUUAAUCAGGGACGAAACAAAUGACGGUACCUGAAGAAUAAGCUCCGGCUAACUACGUG